rnacentral:rRNA from 1 species
CGACGAUGAUGCCCAGCUUGCUGGGCGGAUUAGUGGCGAACGGGUGAGUAAUACGUGAGUAACCUGCCCUUGACUCUGGGAUAAGCCUGGGAAACUGGGUCUAAUACUGGAUACUACCUCUUACCGCAUGGUGGGUGGUGGAAAGGGUUUUACUGGUUUUGGAUGGGCUCACGGCCUAUCAGCUUGUUGGUGGGGUAAUGGCUCACCAAGGCGACGACGGGUAGCCGGCCUGAGAGGGUGACCGGCCACACUGGGACUGAGACACGGCCCAGACUCCUACGGGAGGCAGCAGUGGGGAAUAUUGCACAAUGGGCGGAAGCCUGAUGCAGCGACGCCGCGUGAGGGAUGACGGCCUUCGGGUUGUAAACCUCUUUCAGUAGGGAAGAAGCGAGAGUGACGGUACCUGCAGAAGAAGCGCCGGCUAACUACGUGCCAGCAGCCGCGGUAAUACGUAGGGCGCAAGCGUUGUCCGGAAUUAUUGGGCGUAAAGAGCUCGUAGGCGGUUUGUCGCGUCUGCUGUGAAAGCCCGGGGCUCAACCCCGGGUCUGCAGUGGGUACGGGCAGACUAGAGUGCAGUAGGGGAGACUGGAAUUCCUGGUGUAGCGGUGAAAUGCGCAGAUAUCAGGAGGAACACCGAUGGCGAAGGCAGGUCUCUGGGCUGUUACUGACGCUGAGGAGCGAAAGCAUGGGGAGCGAACAGGAUUAGAUACCCUGGUAGUCCAUGCCGUAAACGUUGGGCACUAGGUGUGGGGGACAUUCCACGUUUUCCGCGCCGUAGCUAACGCAUUAAGUGCCCCGCCUGGGGAGUACGGCCGCAAGGCUAAAACUCAAAGGAAUUGACGGGGGCCCGCACAAGCGGCGGAGCAUGCGGAUUAAUUCGAUGCAACGCGAAGAACCUUACCAAGGCUUGACAUUCACCGGACCGCCCCAGAGAUGGGGUUUCCCUUCGGGGCUGGUGGACAGGUGGUGCAUGGUUGUCGUCAGCUCGUGUCGUGAGAUGUUGGGUUAAGUCCCGCAACGAGCGCAACCCUCGUUCUAUGUUGCCAGCACGUGAUGGUGGGGACUCAUAGGAGACUGCCGGGGUCAACUCGGAGGAAGGUGGGGAUGACGUCAAAUCAUCAUGCCCCUUAUGUCUUGGGCUUCACGCAUGCUACAAUGGCCGGUACAAAGGGUUGCGAUACUGUGAGGUGGAGCUAAUCCCAAAAAGCCGGUCUCAGUUCGGAUUGAGGUCUGCAACUCGACCUCAUGAAGUCGGAGUCGCUAGUAAUCGCAGAUCAGCAACGCUGCGGUGAAUACGUUCCC